ensembl:misc_RNA Metazoa_SRP Metazoan signal recognition particle RNA
GCUGGGCAUGGUGGUGCCUGCCUGUAGUCCCAGCUACUCAGGAGGCUGAGGUGGGAGGAUCACUUGAGCCCAGGAGUUCUGGGCUGUAGUGUGCUAUGCCAAUCGGGUGUCCGCACUAAAUUUGGCAUCAAUAUGGUGACCUCCUGCGAGCAGGGACCAGCAGGUUACCUAAGGUGGGAUGAACCAAGCCAGGUAAAAAUGGAGGUCAAAACUCCCAUGCUCAUCAGUAGUGGGAUCACGCCUGUGUAUAGCCACUGCACUCCAGCCUGGGCAACGUAGCGAGACCCAUCUCUA